rnacentral:rRNA from 1 species
UGCGGCGCAUUAGCUAGUUGGUGGGGUAACGGCUCACCAAGGCGACGAUGCGUAGCCGACCUGAGAGGGUGAACGGCCACACUGGGACUGAGACACGGCCCAGACUCCUACGGGAGGCAGCAGUAGGGAAUCUUCCGCAAUGGGCGAAAGCCUGACGGAGCAACGCCGCGUGAGUGAUGAAGGUUUUCGGAUCGUAAAGCUCUGUUGCCAGGGAAGAACGUUCUCUAGAGUAACUGCUAGAGAAGUGACGGUACCUGAGAAGAAAGCCCCGGCUAACUACGUGCCAGCAGCCGCGGUAAUACGUAGGGGGCAAGCGUUGUCCGGAAUUAUUGGGCGUAAAGCGCGCGCAGGCGGCGAUUUAAGUCUGGUGUUUAAACCAUGGGCUCAACCUGUGGUCGCAUCGGAAACUGGAUGGCUUGAGUGCAGAAGAGGAAAGUGGAAUUCCACGUGUAGCGGUGAAAUGCGUAGAGAUGUGGAGGAACACCAGUGGCGAAGGCGACUUUCUGGGCUGUAACUGACGCUGAGGCGCGAAA